UACGUGGGGCGCAAGCGUUAUCCGGAAUUAUUGGGCGUAAAGAGCUCGUAGGCGGUUUGUCGCGUCUGCCGUGAAAGUCCGGGGCUCAACUCCGGAUCUGCGGUGGGUACGGGCAGACUAGAGUGAUGUAGGGGAGACUGGAAUUCCUGGUGUAGCGGUGAAAUGCGCAGAUAUCAGGAGGAACACCGAUGGCGAAGGCGGGUCUCGUGGGCAGUAACUGACGCUGAGGAGCGAAAGCGUGGGGAGCGAACAGG
rnacentral:rRNA from 1 species